CACGGGGGGAGCAAGCGUUGUUCGGAGUCACUGGGCGUAAAGGGCGUCUAGGCGGUCAGGUAAGUGGGAUGUGAAAUGCCCCGGCUCACCCGGGGACCGGCAUCCCAUACUGCUUGGCUUGAGUACGGGAGAGGAUGUGGGAAGUCCCGGUGUAGCGGUGAAAUGCGUAGAGAUCGGGAAGAACAUCGGUGGCGAAGGCGCUCUACUGGACCACAACUGACACUCAGGGACGAAAGCUAGGGGAGCGAAUGGG
rnacentral:rRNA from 1 species